UUGGCAUUUUUAGAUUAAAAUAAUUUCAAA
rnacentral:piRNA from 1 species